CCUCUCUCCGUGUUCACAGCGGACCUUGAUUUAAAUGUCCAUACAAUUAAGGCACGCGGUGAAUGCCAAGAACGAGGCUGAAU
ensembl:miRNA